rnacentral:rRNA from 1 species
AUUGAACGCUGGCGGCAGGCCUAACACAUGCAAGUCGGACGGUAGCACAGAGGAGCUUGCUCCUCGGGUGACGAGUGGCGGACGGGUGAGUAAUGUCUGGGGAUCUGCCCGAUAGAGGGGGAUAACCACUGGAAACGGUGGCUAAUACCGCAUAACGUCGCAAGACCAAAGAGGGGGACCUUCGGGCCUCUCACUAUCGGAUGAACCCAGAUGGGAUUAGCUAGUAGGCGGGGUAACGGCCCACCUGGGCGACGAUCCCUAGCUGGUCUGAGAGGAUGACCAGCCACACUGGAACUGAGACACGGUCCAGAGUCCUACGGGAGGCAGCAGUGGGGAAUAUUGCACAAUGGGCGCAAGCCUGAUGCAGCCAUGCCGCGUGUAUGAAGAAGGCCUUCGGGUUGUAAAGUACUUUCAGCGGGGAGGAAGGCGAUAAGGUUAAUAACCUUGUCGAUUGACGUUACCCGCAGAAGAAGCACCGGCUAACUCCGUGCCAGCCGCCGCCGUAA